GCCUGUAGCUCAGUGGCAGAGCGUCUGUUUUACGUGCAGAAGGUCCUGGGUUCGAUCCCCAGCAUCGCCA